rnacentral:rRNA from 1 species
UUUAGUAGCGAAGUUCCUGAUGUCACACUGCCAAGAAAAGCUUCUAGUGAGAAAGUAACUGCCCGUACCGCAAACCGACACAGGCAGUUGAGGAGAGAAUCCUAAGGUGUGCGAGAGAACUCUCGUUAAGGAACUCGGCAAAAUGACCCCGUAACUUCGGGAGAAGGGGUGCUGACCGCAAGGUCAGCCGCAGUGAAUAGGCCCAAGCGACUGUUUAUCAAAAACACAGGUCUCUGCAAAAUCGAAAGAUGACGUAUAGGGGCUGACGCCUGCCCGGUGCUGGAAGGUUAAGAGGAGAGGUUAGCGCAAGCGAAGCUUUGAAUUGAAGCCCCAGUAAACGGCGGCCGUAACAAUAACGGUCCUAAGGUAGCGAAAUUCCUUGUCGGGUAAGUUCCGACCCGCACGAAAGGCGUAACGAUUUGGGCACUGUCUCAACGAGAGACUCGGUGAAAUUAUAGUACCAGUGAAGAUGCUGGUUACCCGCGACAGGACGGAAAGACCCCAUGGAGCUUUACUGCAGUUUGAUAUUGCGUGUUUGUAUCACAUGUACAGGAUAGGUAGGAGCCGAAGAUACCGGGACGCCAGUCUCGGAGGAGGCAACGGUGGGAUACUACCCUUGUGAUAUGACCACUCUAACCCGCUGCUCUUAGCGAGCAGGAGACAGUGUCAGACGGGCAGUUUGACUGGGGCGGUCGCCUCCAAAAAUGUAACGGAGGCGCCCAAAGGUUCCCUCAGAAUGGUUGGAAAUCAUUCGUAGAGUGUAAAGGCAGAAGGGAGCUUGACUGCGAGACCUACAAGUCGAGCAGGGACGAAAGUCGGGCUUAGUGAUCCGGUGGUUCCGCAUGGAAGGGCCAUCGCUCAACGGAUAAAAGCUACCCUGGGGAUAACAGGCUUAUCUCCCCCAAGAGUUCACAUCGACGGGGAGGUUUGGCACCUCGGUGUCGGCUCAUCGCAUCCUGGGGCUGUAGUCGGUCCCAAGGGUUGGGCUGUUCGCCCAUUAAAGCGGUACGCGAGCUGGGUUCAGAACGUCGUGAGACAGUUCGGUCCCUAUCCGUCGCGGGCGUUGGAAAUUUGAGAGGAGCUGUCCUUAGUACGAGAGGACCGGGAUGGACACACCGCUGGUGUACCAGUUGUUCUGCCAAGAGCAUCGCUGGGUAGCUAUGUGUGGACGGGAUAAACGCUGAAAGCAUCUGAGCGUGAAGCCCCCCUCAAGAUGAGAUUUCCCAUCACUUUAAGUGAGUAAGACCCCUGA